UCGCUAUCCUCAUCGUCCUCACUCUCUUUUUAGUCGCCCACGUCUACAUCACCGCCCUCUGGCACCUCGCCUCCGUCGUCUCCGUCCUCGAGCCCGUCUACGGCCUCGCCGCCAUGAAGAAGUCCUACCACCUCCUCAAGGGCAGGCUCCGGUUCGCCGCUGUCCUCGUCUCCGCCUAUUUGGUCGCCUGCGGGGUUAUCUCCGGUGUUUUCAGCGUGGUUGUGGUGCACGGUGGGGAGGACUAUGGGGUUUUCACCAGAAUCGUGGUGGGAGGGUUCCUUGUGGGGCUUUUGGUGAUUGUGAACUUGGUGGGGUUGUUGGUGCAGAGUGUGUUUUACUAUGUUUGCAAGAGUUAUCAUCAU
rnacentral:misc_RNA from 1 species